rnacentral:rRNA from 1 species
UACGUAGGGGGCAAGCGUUGUCCGGAAUCAUUGGGCGUAAAGAGCGUGUAGGCGGCUCGGUAAGUCCGCUGUGAAAGUCCAGGGCUCAACCCUGGAAUGCCGGUGGAAACUGUCGAGCUCGAGUCCGGAAGAGGCGAGUGGAAUUCCUGGUGUAGCGGUGAAAUGCGCAGAUAUCAGGAGGAACACCAAUUGCGAAGGCAGCUCGCUGGGACGUAACUGACGCUGAGACGCGAAAGCGUGGGGAGCAAACAGG